rnacentral:rRNA from 2 species
AUUAUUGAAAGGUGCUUGCAUCUUGAUUUAAUUUUGAACGAGUGGCGGACGGGUGAGUAACACGUGGGUAACCUGCCCUUAAGUGGGGGAUAACAUUUGGAAACAGAUGCUAAUACCGCAUAAAUCCAAGAACCGCAUGGUUCUUGGCUGAAAGAUGGCGUAAGCUAUCGCUUUUGGAUGGACCCGCGGCGUAUUAGCUAGUUGGUGAGGUAACGGCUCACCAAGGCAAUGAUACGUAGCCGAACUGAGAGGUUGAUCGGCCACAUUGGGACUGAGACACGGCCCAAACUCCUACGGGAGGCAGCAGUAGGGAAUCUUCCACAAUGGACGCAAGUCUGAUGGAGCAACGCCGCGUGAGUGAAGAAGGCUUUCGGGUCGUAAAACUCUGUUGUUGGAGAAGAAUGGUCGGCAGAGUAACUGUUGUCGGCGUGACGGUAUCCAACCAGAAAGCCACGGCUAACUACGUGCCAGCAGCCGCGGUAAUACGUAGGUGGCAAGCGUUAUCCGGAUUUAUUGGGCGUAAAGCGAGCGCAGGCGGUUUUUUAAGUCUGAUGUGAAAGCCCUCGGCUUAACCGAGGAAGUGCAUCGGAAACUGGGAAACUUGAGUGCAGAAGAGGACAGUGGAACUCCAUGUGUAGCGGUGAAAUGCGUAGAUAUAUGGAAGAACACCAGUGGCGAAGGCGGCUGUCUGGUCUGUAACUGACGCUGAGGCUCGAAAGCAUGGGUAGCGAACAGGAUUAGAUACCCUGGUAGUCCAUGCCGUAAACGAUGAAUGCUAGGUGUUGGAGGGUUUCCGCCCUUCAGUGCCGCAGCUAACGCAUUAAGCAUUCCGCCUGGGGAGUACGACCGCAAGGUUGAAACUCAAAGGAAUUGACGGGGGCCCGCACAAGCGGUGGAGCAUGUGGUUUAAUUCGAAGCAACGCGAAGAACCUUACCAGGUCUUGACAUCUUUUGAUCACCUGAGAGAUCAGGUUUCCCCUUCGGGGGCAAAAUGACAGGUGGUGCAUGGUUGUCGUCAGCUCGUGUCGUGAGAUGUUGGGUUAAGUCCCGCAACGAGCGCAACCCUUAUGACUAGUUGCCAGCAUUUAGUUGGGCACUCUAGUAAGACUGCCGGUGACAAACCGGAGGAAGGUGGGGAUGACGUCAAAUCAUCAUGCCCCUUAUGACCUGGGCUACACACGUGCUACAAUGGAUGGUACAACGAGUUGCGAGACCGCGAGGUCAAGCUAAUCUCUUAAAGCCAUUCUCAGUUCGGACUGUAGGCUGCAACUCGCCUACACGAAGUCGGAAUCGCUAGUAAUCGCGGAUCA